ACGGGAGGCAGCAGUGGGGAAUAUUGCACAAUGGGGGAAACCCUGAUGCAGCGACGCCGCGUGAGUGAAGAAGUAUUUCGGUAUGUAAAGCUCUAUCAGCAAGGAAGAAAAUGACGGUACUUGACUAAGAAGCCCCGGCUAACUACGUGCCAGCAGCCGCGGUAAUACGUAGGGGGCAAGCGUUAUCCGGAUUUACUGGGUGUAAAGGGCGCGUAGGCGGGGAUGCAAGUCAGAUGUGAAAUCUAUGGGCUCAACUCAUAAACUGCAUUUGGAACUGUAUCUCUUGAGUGCUGGAGAGGUAGAUGGAAUUCCUUGUGUAGCGGUGAAAUGCGUAGAUAUAAGGAAGAACACCAGUGGCGAAGGCGAUCUACUGGACAGUAACUGACGCUGAGGCGCGAGAGCGUGGGGAGCAAACAGGAUUAGAUACCCUGGUA
rnacentral:rRNA from 1 species